ensembl:snRNA U1 U1 spliceosomal RNA
AUACUUACCUGAGAGGGGAGAUACCAUGAACACAAAGGUGAUUUUCCCAGGGCGAGGCUCAUCCAUUGCACUCUGGAUGUGCUGACCCCUGCAGUUUCCCCAGAUGUGGGAAGCUCAGCUGCAUAAUUUGUGGUAGCGGGGGCUGCAUUUAAAAAAAAAAAAGAAAGAUGCUUUGU